rnacentral:rRNA from 1 species
AGCUACAGCCUUGCCACGCUGAGGGCGACCAAUCUCUUCUGAUCUCAGACACUAAGCAGGGUCGGGACUGCUUAGUACUUGGAUGGGAGACCGCCUGGGAAUACCAGAUGAUGUAGGCU